rnacentral:piRNA from 1 species
CAUAAAGUGUCUGAAGAUCCAGCAGAGAAAU